UCCUNUGGCUUAACUGGGGGCUUGCGNUGGGUACGGGCCGGCUUGAGUGCGGUAGGGGAGGCUGGAACUCCUGGUGUAGCGGUGGAAUGCGCAGAUAUCAGGAAGAACACCGGUGGCGAAGGCGGGUCUNUGGGCCGUUACUGACGCUGAGGAGCGAAAGCGUGGGGAGCGAACAGGAUUAGAUACCCUGGUAGUCCACGCCAUAAACGUUGGGCACUAGGUGUGGGGGGCCUUUUCCGGGUUUUCCGCGCCGUAGCUAACGCAUUAAGUGCCCCGCCUGGGGAGUACGGCCGCAAGGCUAAAACUCAAAGGAAUUGACGGGGGCCCGCACAAGCGGCGGAGCAUGCGGAUUAAUUCGAUGCAACGCGAAGAACCUUACCAAGGCUUGACAUGUGCCGGUCGGCUCCGGAGACGGGGUUUCCUCCUUGUGGGGCCGGUUCACAGGUGGUGCAUGGUUGUCGUCAGCUCGUGUCGUGAGAUGUUGGGUUAAGUCCCGCAACGAGCGCAACCCUUGUCUCGUGUUGCCAGCACGUUGUGGUGGGGACUCGCGGGAGACUGCCGGGGUCAACUCGGAGGAAGGUGGGGAUGACGUCAAAUCAUCAUGCCCCUUAUGUCUUGGGCUUCACGCAUGCUACAAUGGCCGGUACAGAGGGCUGCGAUACUGUGAGGUGGAGCGAAUCCCUUAAAGCCGGUCUCAGUUCGGAUCGGUGUCUGCAACUCGACACCGUGAAGUUGGAGUCACUAGUAAUCGCAGAUCAGCAACGCUGCGGUGAAUACGUUCUCGGGCCUUGUACACACCGCCCGUCACGUCAUGAAAGUCGGCAACACCCGAAGCCCGUGGCCUUAUGGGGAGCGGUCG
rnacentral:rRNA from 1 species